rnacentral:rRNA from 1 species
GGCGGUAUGCUUAACACAUGCAAGUCGAACGGUGUCUUCGGACAUAGUGGCGGACGGGUGAGUAACGCGUGAGAAUCUAGCUUCAGGUUUGGGACAACCACUGGAAACGGUGGCUAAUACCGAAUGUGCCGAGAGGUGAAAGGCUUGCUGCCUGAAGAUGAGCUCGCGUCUGAUUAGCUAGUAGGUGGGGUAAGAGCCUACCUAGGCGACGAUCAGUAGCUGGUCUGAGAGGAUGAUCAGCCACACUGGGACUGAGACACGGCCCAGACUCCUACGGGAGGCAGCAGUGGGGAAUUUUCCGCAAUGGGCGAAAGCCUGACGGAGCAAUACCGCGUGAGGGAGGAAGGCUCUUGGGUUGUAAACCUCUUUUCUCAGGGAAGAAGACAAUGACGGUACCUGAGGAAUCAGCAUCGGCUAACUCCGUGCCAGCAGCCGCGGUAAUACGGAGGAUGCAAGCGUUAUCCGGAAUGAUUGGGCGUAAAGCGUCCGCAGGUGGCUGUGUAAGUCUGCUGUCAAAGAGCGAAGCUCAACUUCGUAAAGGCAGUGGAAACUACACGGCUAGAGUGCGUUCGGGGCAGAGGGAAUUCCUGGUGUAGCGGUGAAAUGCGUAGAGAUCAGGAAGAACACCGGUGGCGAAGGCGCUCUGCUAGGCCGCAACUGACACUGAGGGACGAAAGCUAGGGGAGCGAAUGGGAUUAGAUAC